rnacentral:rRNA from 1 species
ACCGGCAGCUCAAGUGGUGGCCAUUUUUAUUGGGCCUAAAGCGUUCGUAGCCGGUUUGAUAAGUCUCUGGUGAAAUCCCGCAGCUUAACUGUGGGACUUGCUGGAGAUACUAUUAGACUUGAGGUCGGGAGAGGUUAGGGGUACUCCCAGGGUAGGGGGAAAACCCAAAAAUCUGGGGGGGACCGCCUGUGGCGAAGGCGCCUAACUGGAACGAACCUGACGGUGAGUAACGAAAGCCAGGGGCGCGAACCG